AUAUAUAUAUAACACUGCUGAUAGGUUUAUCGCGCCUGUUGCUCAUUAUUUACACUGUGGCAAGCCUGUUGGAAACCGGGAAUCGAGAGCGCUAUAGUUAUGCGUUAUUUUGUAAAUUAUUUCUAAUUUAUCAACUCAUGGGUGGUUUAUUUCUGAUUCAUCCACACUUGUUAUAAUUUGCAUAAAAUGAAUACUUGACUGCACAACUAUAUUUCUUUGUUGUUUGAUAAGACUAUAAGCUAAAUAUAGCAGCAAUACGAUUAAGACCAAAUACUAUUUGCAAAUUGUUAAACAAUAUUGCUGCCGCGGACGCCGCCUCUAAAAACGGUUUUUCAUUUCCUUAAUGGAAACCGGCGGAUAGCAAAAUAAAGCUUUAUGGCACUAUAAACGAUAAUACCGGUGGCUAAUUGGAGGCGCACUUAUACAAGCAUUCCUGGCUAUAGUAUAUAAUAAAUAAUUUACAAUUUUGCGACUCAAUAUCGCGGCCUCAGUAAUCAUUACACAGCAUAUGCAUAUGUGUGUGUAUUUUUAGCACUGUCAGCAAGUCUGUCACACACACCAAAGCAUAUAGCUUUUAAUUAAGUUGCAAUUAAUUGGAAACGUUAACUGGUUAAAUUUCAACUUGCCUUGCAAAAAAACAACACGAUAUGCUGCGCUUUCAACUGAACUCGAUUGAUAUGUACAAAUGAACAAAUAAAUACGUUAAGCAACCACGAAUUUUAUACAAAUGAAAUUUCGGUUUCUAAACACGCACAAUAAAAAAACGAAAAAAGCAACUGCAAACCAGUUUAACUUCAAAACAACUAAACACACCGUUCAGUUGAGUGUUGCCUACCAUCUGUUAAAAUGUAGUUGCUGCUUUUGCUCUGCUGUCGCUGCCUGCGUCUGUCGUUGGCGUUUGCUUUUCGCUGGUCAUUUUCGUGAGUAGCUCGCUGACUGGACGUGGGAUAUAUGGGUGUGUGUGUGUGUGUGGGAGUGCGAGUGGUGCACACAUAUAGUGCGCUAGUGUGUGUGUGGGUUGCGGGCCCUUGUACACGCAAGAAGCGGCGCACGCCCAUGGCUGAUAUCGCAACGACGACGACAGCGGCAGCGGAGUUUCGUUCAAUUUUUUUGUUUUGUUUGUUUCUCGCUCUUUGAUGCGCUCUCGCUCUCUUGUGAGCUCAAUGCGAAUGUAUGUUAGUAUGUGCGGGUUUUUAUUUGGUUAUUUAUAAAAAAAUACUUCUAUUGUUGCGCUCAUUUAUCUCAAUUUUUAUAACUAUUAUCAAUAGAGAUCGCAUUCAGUCACAAUUUGAGGUUAAAUGUUGCUUGUUGCCAUGUUUCUUUAACUGUACCCAGCCAAUUGAUAAGAAAGUAAACUGAUAAACUUAAGAGAAUAUAUUUAAAUGCUUAAAAUCCAUGCAUCACACAUACUAUAUUGAAUAUGUAUACUAUAUAUAUGCCCCACCCUAGCAUUGAUAAGCGGACUAUCGUUACAUAAGGAGGAGCUUUGGACUGAAGCACUUUGCAAAUCGUAUAAUUCGCAGGAAAAGCCUUCUACUCAAGUGUUAUAAUACGCCUUAAGUCUAGACUCCAUGACUCGAAGUUACCAUUUGUCGGAUUUUCUAUUCCCAGGCAGCAAUCGAUCAGGCAAUAGAGUUAGCUAAUCAGAUUGAUUGAUUGGCCGUGCUUAUGAAAAGUUUUUAUGAGGCUGUCAUAAAUCAUAAUUCAAUUGAAAUUCAUUGCUUCCCUCUUACAAUUGAGAGCUAGUACUUCAAUUGGGAAAUUUAGAUCCCAAAUCUUUUAAAUGAACUUCAAAAGAAUGCAGCCAAAAAAAAAAGCUGUGAGCGUCACAUGAUAUUGCAUAAACUCUGUAACGAGUAACGAUAUUGUCGAAGCAUCGAGUACAAUACAGACACACUAACUACUUGCGUGACUGAGAGAUACACUAAUACACCAACAUACACACACAUAGAUAUGACAGUAGCAGAGUUACGUUCGCUUCGCUCGACCGCUUCGUUUGACGGGGGCAGGUGGCGGUUUUCUCAGCUGGGAGCAUUGACGUUGACAAUAGUCUCAUGACACAAGCUCGAGAGCUGUGAAAAUUACUGAAGCUGCUUCGCUCUGCUCUGUGUGAAGAUCACGUGCUGUAUUUACACUAGAACACUUAUUGGAAAAUUGCCUAACAAAAACAUCUGGUUUUUGUUAAUUGACUCCUUAUUCACUUGCUUAACUUUUUCUUUUCUGGUUUUGUUGGUGUUCAAUUGAAGAUCACCUUGAAAUCACACACGAACUUGUUGUACUUCGUAUAUACAUUAUAUUAUUGCCAUUUAAUCUGUCGUUCUUUUUAUCUUACUUUAUCGUUUUAUUAUUUGAUUUGCGUUUGUUCUGUAUGGUUUGUUUUUUUGCUUACCUUUGCAGCUUUGAGACAAAUUUUUAUACGAAAAAUUCAAGAUUCGCCAAGCGUACGUGCGUUAAAUUUAGAACUUGUUUUUUGCCCGUUGCGCUUUUA